GACAGCAUAGCCAAGUGGUUACGGCGACAGAUUAGAAUAUCCUCUGAGGAGAAUAGCCUACCAUCUGUUCCUCUUUGAGGGCGCAGGUUCGAAUCCUGCUGUUGUCG